AAUACCGAAUGAAUCAUAUCAGCAAAAGUUUUGGAAAUUGAUCCAAAAACAAUGUUUAUCAGUAGUUUUUUAAAGCAUUCCAACUUAGUUAUAUAUUUUUGGUUAUUUUAAAACAUUAACUAGA
ensembl:ncRNA T01H3.6 ncRNA